AGCGAACGCUGGCGGCAGGCCUAACACAUGCAAGUCGAACGAAGUCUUCGGACUUAGUGGCGGACGGGUGAGUAACACGUGGGAACGUACCUUUUGGUUCGGAACAACUCAGGGAAACUUGAGCUAAUACCGGAUGAGCCCUUAGGGGGAAAGGUUUAUCGCCGAAAGAGCGGCCCGCGUUAGAUUAGCUAGUUGGGGAGGUAAAGGCUCACCAAGGCUACGAUCUAUAGCUGGUCUGAGAGGAUGAUUAGCCAAACUGGGACUGAGACACGGCCCAGACUCCUACGGGAGGCAGCAGUGGGGAAUCUUGCGCAAUGGGCGAAAGCCUGACGCAGCCAUGCCGCGUGAAUGAUGAAGGUCUUAGGAUUGUAAAAUUCUUUUACCAGGGACGAUAAUGACGGUACCUGGAGAAAAAGCCCCGGCUAACUUCGUGCCAGCCGCCGCAGUAACAC
rnacentral:rRNA from 1 species